rnacentral:lncRNA from 1 species
CCUGGUGCAGUGGCAAGAAGAGAAAGGAAGUUCCCCAAGACAGAAACAUCUCAGCAGUGAGUUCCUGAUGAGGGAAGGGAAGUGAAUCCUAAGAACAAUCAUGUGAGUUUGGAAGGAGACCCUUCCCCAGCUGAGCCUCAGCCUGAGCCAUCACCUACAUCUAGACCGAAGACCCAGAGAAACCGUGAGUAAUAUGUGUGUGGUUCUGAGCCACUAAGGUACGUACUAAUUUGUUAUGCACCAAGUAGUAAGUAAUAUACUUGACAGUAAUUGUAAGGUGGUAUUCUGGAUUAGGUCCUGGAAUAGAUAAGUAUAUGAUUAUUAAAAAACCUGGUAAAAUAUGAAGGAAGUUUGUAGAUCAGUUAAUAAUCUCGAAAAACAGUUAAAUUCUUAGUUUUCAUGAAUAUGCUAUGGUUAUAAUAUAUAUUAACAUUCUAGUUAGCUGAAUGGUAUAUGAAACUGUCUGUACUUACCUAUGUGCAUUUAUGUAAAUCUGCAGUUAUUUCAAAAUAAAUAUGUUUUUUAAUAUUAUUAUUAUUUUUUUAAGAAAAGUAAGCAAGUAAAGACAUCAGCAAAAAACUUUUGCCUCCAGAUACAAGUGGGCAUGUAGGGAGAGAAUAGUAAACUGGCUUUUCUUUUCUAGGCAACAUUCGAAACCCAGGUGCCACUCCUUCAGGAAGGUACCAUCAAGCUCCAAGGACUCUUAUCCUCUUUCUCCUUCCCCACUACCUAGUCAUUAGAGCGUCAGCAUCCACUUCUUGAAAGGAAGAUGCCUGUUUUUCACAUAUCCCAGAAAACCCCAUUUUAGGACAGCAUUUAGCAGAGUAUAUUCAGGAUCCCACUAACCUUUUUGGAAGACAUGACUUCCAGAUGAUAUAAGGCAAGAAUAAGAAAUUUCAGUGACAGGGAACAGAAAUCAUAUUUCUGCAUUCAGGAUCAUGUUUUCUUGGCUCCAUCAGGAACUGUGCAGGACUGUGCACUCUGUUGAUACUCACAUGGUGGAAUUAUAUUGCCUUUGGCCAACCCUAAAGCCAUCAAGAUAGCAGGUCUGGUCUACCGAGAAGAGAGAUCAAAGAGCUCUUCAGCUGUUCCCAGCUCCCCACACAAAUCUACCUAACAAAGUCCCGAUAAACAGUCUGUUUUCUGGAGUCUAUCAAUACUGAUGAGGUCUUGUUCUUUUGGCCAGGCUGGAGUGCAGUGGUACAGUCGUGACUCACUGCAGCUUCAAACACCUGGGUUCCAGCAUUCAUCCCACUUCAGCCUCCCGUGUAGCCGGGACUACAGAUUUGUCUUUCCUUUUGGCUGAGACCGUGGUAACCAAUAAACUCUUUACUUUCUCUAUCCUUGUGCCUUUUCUAGAGUGUCAUAUAUUAUGUUAAAAAAAAGUAUUUUGCUUUUUCCAAAUUGCUUUUUGGACUUACUCAUAUGCCUUUAGGAUUAGUAAAGGAUAUCUUAUGGUUGGGAUUUGCAUUUCCCUAAUGACAGAGGCAUUGAGCAUUUUUCCAUAUGCUUAUUAAACAUUACUAUAGCUUCUUUGGAGACAUGACUGUUCAAAUUUUCUAUUUUUGAUUGGAGCAUUUGCCUUUGGAUUUUU